UACGAAGGGGGCUAGCGUUGCUCGGAAUUACUGGGCGUAAAGCGCACGUAGGCGGAUUGUUAAGUCGGGGGUGAAAUCCUGGAGCUCAACUCCAGAACUGCCUUCGAUACUGAGGACCUCGAGUCCGGGAGAGGUGAGUGGAACUCCGAGUGUAGAGGUGAAAUUCGUAGAUAUUCGGAAGAACACCAGUGGCGAAGGCGGCUCACUGGCCCGGUACUGACGCUGAGGUGCGAAAGCGUGGGGAGCAAACAGG
rnacentral:rRNA from 1 species